rnacentral:misc_RNA from 1 species
GAUGAAGAACGCAGCGAAAUGCGAUAAGUAAUGUGAAUUGCAGAAUUCAGUGAAUCAUCGAAUCUUUGAACGCACCUUGCACUCCUUGGUAUUCCGAGGAGUAUGCCUGUUUGAGUGUCUUGUAAUCAUCAAUCUAACAUUGCUUUUGUGAUGUACGAUUGGACUUGGAGACUGCUGGUCUAAUGACUGGCUUCUCUUGAAUGCAUUAGUAGAACUGGGUUACGGCGCUACGUGUAGUGUGAUAAUAUCUUCACUGCAUAGUUGUAACGAAGUUUUGCUUCUAACGGUCCUUUGUUGGACAAUACUUGACCAUUUGACCUCAAAUCAGGUAGGACUACCCGCUGAACUUAAGCAUAUCAAUAAGCGGAGGA